ACAAGAAGGAGAAGCGUUCUUUGCGAACCUCUCCACCGUUCUCUUUCGCGUUUGACAGUGCGGUGAGCGAAUUCAAUUCGAUUCUCUGGAAGCCUUCCAUUCUCACAUACUCUGCGCGUUCUCUGUGAGCCUCCCAUUAUCACAUACUCUCCCAUUCUCACACAGCGUUUGACAGUGCGGUAUGUUGAACGGUGUUUGACAUUGCAUCGACUCCGAGCGAAAUGGACAACACACUAUGCGAACUACCUCCCCCUCUGUACUGUCAAAUCAAAGACAGAUGCAAUAAAAAAUGGGAUUGUUAAGAGAGAAACACAUUUUACGUCACAAUGUCCUGCAAACGAAAUCAUGUCAAAAAUUGAGGAAGUUGCCAAGCCUUUGUGAUUAAGUGUUCACAAAGCCAAAUAUAAGAUGAAGCUGCAAGGUGAUAAGAGCGGAAGGGUCACCUUUCAGUAGCAACAGAGUUUCAUUCCAAUUCAUGUCUAGAGUCAUGAAACCACUUUCUGUGGGAAGAAUGAUAGGAGAAGUGGUUGACAUUUUCAGCCCAAGUGUGAGAAUGAAUGUGACACAUUCCACCAAGAAAGUGGCUAAUGGUCAUGACUUAAUGCCUUCUACUGUUAUGGCCAAGCCACACGUGGAGAUUGGUGGUGAUGACAUGAGAAC